rnacentral:rRNA from 1 species
CCCUUAGAUGUUCUGGGCUGCACGCGCGCUACACUGAUGCAUCCAACAAGUUUUUUCCUUGUUCGAGAGGACUAGGUAAUCUUAUGAGAAUGCAUCGUGAUGGGGAUAGAUUAUUGCAAUUAUUAAUCUUCAACGAGGGAUUCCUAGUAAGCGCGAGUCAUCAGCUCGUGCUGAUUACGUCCCUGCCCUUUGUACACACCGCCCGUCGCUGCAACUGAUUGGGUGACCUGGUGAACAUCUUGGACCGGCCCACUCAAUUUCGAGAGGACUGGAAAAGGCCGUAAAUCAGGUACAUCUAGAAAUUGCAAAAGUCGUAACA